rnacentral:rRNA from 1 species
GACGAACGCUGGCGGCGUGCUUAACACAUGCAAGUCGAACGGUGACGAGGAGCUUGCUCCUCCGAUCAGUGGCGAACGGGUGAGUAACACGUGAGUAACCUGCCCCAGACUCUGGGAUAACAGUUGGAAACAGCUGCUAAUACCGGAUACGAGACGGAGAGGCAUCUCUACCGUCUGGAAAGUUUUUUCGGUCUGGGAUGGACUCGCGGCCUAUCAGCUUGUUGGUGAGGUAAUGGCUCACCAAGGCGACGACGGGUAGCCGGCCUGAGAGGGCGACCGGCCACACUGGGACUGAGACACGGCCCAGACUCCUACGGGAGGCAGCAGUGGGGAAUAUUGCACAAUGGGCGAAAGCCUGAUGCAGCGACGCCGCGUGAGGGAU